GGAAAUGUUGGUGGAAAAGUGAAGCUACUGUAUGAUUUUUACAGGGAAAAAAAAUGCAUUUCAAAAAUAAACCAGUCGGUGACCACAAAACCAACAAUAUGCUACAAUCUUAAACCUAAAUACAUGAAAAAAAGUAAUUUUAAAAUACUAAAAGUCAAGUUAGUAAUAUAAUUGAAGCACAAUUUCAUUCAUGAAUGUAUUUAUUCAUUUGGGAUAUGACAAAUAUGGACAAUUUAUUACAAUAAUUAUUUUCAAUAGGUUCAUUAAUAAACACAAUAUAUACAAAUAAUUUUGAAAAUACUAAAACUUAAAUAAUAUAAUUAUUGUAGAUAUUUAUUAACUUAGGAUAUUACUGUUACGCUUCAUUCCAAUUUUUAAAAAAUCAUUAAUAAACAAACAGUGCACCCUCACUACAUCGCGGUUCACCUUUCGCUGAUUUUUUAGUGCAAUUUUGUAUGUUUUUUUUUUAACAGCGUAUAAACGCGCAUUGUGUUCCUGCGUCCUUGUGGUGCAUUAGAGUGAUCGAUCAGUGCUCUGUUGUAUGUGUCUGUUAUUGUAUUUACCACUGCUACCAGCAGGGGGGGUUCUGAUUGGCUGUAGACCAAUCUCCUUGGUGCAGGACUGCCUGUUUGUUGUUGUAUGAUCGCGAGCUGCCAGCGAUCGUACAUGCUGAAUGACGGCAGAAGUUACGCGGCUGUGGGGCACGUGGAAUGCUGCAAAUGAAUCUUCGGUUCAUGGAGGACGAGGAGGAGGAAUAUGUUUGAACAAGGAUACAAAAACGCUACAGCCUAACAGCGCCAGGACGAGCCACGAUCAGAGGAGUGAAAUAUGCGUUUCCAACACACUUUCGCACUUUCAAUUAACGACCAAUGAAGACGUCCAAUUUGGUCCACUCUAUCACUGACGACUCCUUCUAAACAACAAUAAGAGCGAUGAUAACAAAGCGCUGAAGCAGACGCUGGUUCUCCUGAGUCGGGCGGAGUUCCUGGAUGAGCACCUCCUUUUAAUCACCUCAGCUGUGGCAGGAAGGUGUUGGACUGUUGCUUUGUUCUGGACGCUCCAUGUCACGCUUCAGCUAUCUCAUCCUCCAAGACAAUUUAUUAGCAUCCUUGUUUGAUUGUAUUUGUGCAUUCGUUUUGUUAGCUACCUUGCCUGCCUUCCUACAUAUCCAGUAGCCCGCCUGACUUUCCAGUAGUUUUUAGUUGCUUCGAGUUUACUUCUUUUUUCCACAAUGUAUGUUUUUUUCCACUCUUCGUUCCUGCAUUUUUCUGUCCCAUAA